GAGGGUAUAGCUCAGUGGUAGAGUGUGUGCUUAGCAUGCACCAGGUCCUGGGUUUGAUUCCCAGUACCUCUG
rnacentral:tRNA from 1 species